UUUCCGUAGGUGAACCUGCGGAAGGAUCAUUAAUGAGUUGUCAUGGGGUUCGAUGCUGGCAGCCAGUUUUUGGAUGCAUGUGCUUGCCCUAACAAUCAUCUUCUUCCAAACACCUGUGCACAUUUUUGAGGGAAUCUUGAGUUGGUUGCCGCUCUUGGGUGAUUUUCUCACAUUCCCUUAAAUCAUUAUACGCUAUUAACAAUGUUGAACGUGCUCUGUGCCGCAAGGCCAUUAAUAUAAUACAACUUUUAACAACGGAUCUCUUGGCUCUC
rnacentral:misc_RNA from 1 species